GACGAACGCUGGCGGCGUGCCUAAUACAUGCAAGUAGAACGCUGAAGGAGGAGCUUGCUUCUCUGGAUGAGUUGCGAACGGGUGAGUAACGCGUAGGUAACCUGCCUGGUAGCGGGGGAUAACUAUUGGAAACGAUAGCUAAUACCGCAUAAUAGCAGUUAUUGCAUGAUAACUGUUUAAAAGGUGCAAUUGCACCACUACCAGAUGGACCUGCGUUGUAUUAGCUAGUUGGUGGGGUAACGGCUCACCAAGGCGACGAUACAUAGCCGACCUGAGAGGGUGAUCGGCCACACUGGGACUGAGACACGGCCCAGACUCCUACGGGAGGCAGCAGUAGGGAAUCUUCGGCAAUGGACGAAAGUCUGACCGAGCAACGCCGCGUGAGUGAAGAAGGUUUUCGGAUCGUAAAGCUCUGUUGUAAGAGAAGAAACGAGUGUGAGAAGUGGAAAGUUUCAACAACUGUGAACGG
rnacentral:rRNA from 1 species